UAACGGCUGAACCAGCAACUUGGAAGAAUGUAUAGCGAAAGCUAAUUGUAAAUUUUACAAUAUUAAUUUAGUUAAAUAAAGUUCUAGAUAAAUAAUUUGACAAUGACAUAUUUUAUCUAUUAGUCUUGACCAAGUCACGUGCCAGCAGUCGCGGCAAUACGUGGAAGACAAGUGUUAUUCAUCUUAAAUGGGUUUAAAGGGUACGUAGACAGUUAAUUAAGUCUAAUAACAGAUACUGAUUAUACUAGAGUUUUAUGUAAAAAGAUAGUAUACUGAGUGUAGAGAUAGAAUAUUAGAAUACCAUUUAUAAACUGGUAAAGGCAAAAGCAAUCUUUUAUGUAAAAACUGACGUUUAGGGACGAAGGCUUGAUUUACGAAUAGGAUUAGAUACCCUAGUAGUACGAGCAGACAAUUAUGAAUGCCAUAUGUAAGAUAUACAAUAUUUUAUAUAUAAAUGAAAGUGUAAGCAUUUCACCUUAAGAGUAAUACGGCAACGUAGGAACUGAAAUCAUUAGACCGUUUCUGAAACCAGUAGUGAAGUAUGUUGUUUAAUUAGAUGAUCCACAAAGAAUCUUACCACAAUUUGAAUGUUUUACACAAGUGUUGCACGGCUGUCUUCAGCUAAUGUCGUGAGAUUUUGGUUAGAUCCAUAAAAUUAGCGUAAACCCUUACCUUUUUUUCAUAAAAGGUAGUACACAAUAUAUAUAUUAAUUGUGAUAAAAGGGACUAAGACAAGUCAUCAUGACCCUAAUAUUGUGGGC
rnacentral:rRNA from 1 species